UUUGAGGACGCUGGCGGUUCCCUUAACAUGCAAGUCGAACGGCAGCACGGGAGCAAUCCUGGUGGCGAGUGGCGAACGGGUGAGUAAUAUAUCGGAACGUGCCCAGUCGUGGGGGAUAACGGAGCGAAAGCUACGCUAAUACCGCAUACCGAUCUAUGGAUGAAAGCGGGGGAUCGCAAGACCUCGCGCGAUUGGAGCGGCCGAUAUCAUAUUAGGUUGUUGGUGGGGUAAAAGCCUACCAAGCCUGCGAUCUGUAGCUGGUCUGAGAGGACGACCAGCCACACUGGAACUGAGACACGGUCCAGACUCCUACGGGAGGCAGCAGUGGGGAAUUUUGGACAAUGGGCGCAAGCCUGAUCCAGCAAUGCCGCGUGCAGGAUGAAGGCCUUCGGGUUGUAAACUGCUUUUGUCGGAACGAAACGGUUCUUUCUAAUACAGAGAGCUAAUGACGGUCCGUAAGAAUAAGACCGGCUACUACGUGCCAGCAGCCGGGGUAUACGUAGGGUGCCAAGCGUUAUUCGGAAUACUGGCCGUAAAGCGUCCCCAGCCGGUUAUGUAAGACGAUUGG
rnacentral:rRNA from 1 species